rnacentral:rRNA from 1 species
GAUUCAGGAUAACUUCACGGAUCGCAUGGCCUUGCGCCGGCGACGGUUCAUUCAAAUUUCUGCCCUAUCAACUUUCGAUGGUAAGGUAUUGGCUUACGAUGGUUUCAACGGGUAACGGGGAAUUAGGGUUCGAUUCCGGAGAGGGAGCCUGAGAAACGGCUACCACAUCCAAGGAAGGCAGCAGGCGCGCAAAUUACCCAAUCCCGACACGGGGAGGUAGUGACAAUAAAUACUGAUACAGGGCUCUUUUGGGUCUUGUAAUUGGAAUGAGUACAAUUUAAACCUCUUAACGAGGAACAAUUGGAGGGCAAGUCUGGUGCCAGCAGCCGCGGUAAUUCCAGCUCCAAUAGCGUAUAUUAAAGUUGUUGCAGUUAAAAAGCUCGUAGUUGAAACUUGGGCCUGGCUGGCAGGUCCGCCUCACCGCGUGUACUUGUCCGGCCGGGCCUUUCCUUCUGGAGAACCUCAUGCCCUUCACUGGGUGUGCUGGGGAACCAGGACUUUUAC